rnacentral:lncRNA from 1 species
AUGUCGCCUUCACUUUCUUUCCGCCAAGAAAUUUCUACCAGGAUUCACGGAGGAGGAGAGUGUCAUGUGAACAUGCCGGAGAGAGGACCUGGGCCUUCGCCUUACAGCCAGGCCCUGAGCUCAGCACCCACUGGGAGGACCCAGCUGCCGCUCAGCUGCCAGGGUGCAGUGUGGGGAAAGCAGUCAAGCCCGCGCGGUGAUUGUGAGGGGCUCUGCUGGAAUUUGGCAGCGCGGAGGCUUGGAGCGCAGCCCCAUGCUGGCUCCUAUUCAGCGGCCGGUUCCCCUCCAGCUCUGGAAGUUUCACUCAGCCGUGCACUCAAUGGCUCCACAAAGCUGAUUACAAGCUCCAGCGCAUUCCUGAAGGAGCCAAAGCGACGCAGGUGCAAACGAGCCGAGGGAGCCCCUUAUCCCGGUGACAGAAUGGGACAAGCUGGGAAAGGCUCGGACCACACAAAUCCAGGCUCACCAGGCAGCAGAAAGCCUGCUUGGGAACCGGGGGUCAUUAUCCGACCUAUUCACGCCGGGCUGCGGCCGGGCAGGCGGGCGGGGCUCUGCGCGGGCUCCUCGCCGCCGAGGCCGCGCAAAGCCCAGCCGGCUUCGCCCGCGCGCCCGGGCCCGAGCAGCGGGAGGCUCCACGCGGGCGCCCGGGUCCCGCGGCAGGGCGCAGCGGGCAGGGCGCGCCCACGCGCCUUUGUCUGAUAACUAAUUUGAGUUAAUGCGAUCUGUAUGGAAAGCUAACAGCGGAUAAUUGUCUAUUUUCUCGCCAACAAUCUCCGUCACAGUCACUUAUCUGGAGACCUGCGGUUCGAUUAAUCGCUACGUCCCGGAAGCGCGGGCCGCACACGCGCGGUGGGCACCGGCGCCCCGCACCCUGGCCGGCGGGAGGACGUCCAGCCCCGGCCCCGCUCCCUGUCGGCCCCGCUCCCGGCCGGCCCCGCUCUGGGCCCAGCUCCCCGCGGGCGUCCCAGUGUUUACGCCUAGCCGAGCCAGGGCGGCUCGGGGACCUCGCCGCCGCUCCGAUCCCGCCUCAGCCCCGCCGGCAGAGACGGGGCGGGUGGCGGCCGCCUCUGGGGAGAGGGUUGUGUGACAGAGUUUUGUCUCCCCAGCUAAAGUCAGAACAUCAGCGUCAACUGCGAAUCGCUCGGCGCGGACUUCGCCUGUGCAGCUGAGGCCUCUGCUGCCCGAGGGACCGAGAGGGCAACUUCUCAAAGUGGAGUUUCUGGAAAACAGCAAAUUCAGACUCCACUGGGACAGUUUUGGGCCACAGAAAAAAAAGCAUUGGCUUCCUGUUUGCAGGAGACUCAAACUUCCGUGAAGGAACAGGAAAUAAAGGCGGGAAGCUGCUGUGUGUGUGGCAAAGCCGCCUGCGCUCCUCCCAGGCGCGUGCCCUGAGAUCCUGUCAAAAAGCCUUCUCCAGCCACCCUGAGGGCCCUAGGAGCAGCAGGUCGCCCCAGCUCCGCGCUCUUUCUGGCGGCCCUUGGGAGGCACCUACUUCGCCUCUCACCUGAAUCUCCCACCUCGGCCAUCUAGAGGGAUCUGUGGACAAAGCUGAGCCCAGCGACAGCCCUGGUCAGUCAGGCGGAACGGUCUAUGCAAAUCGGGGCCCGGGAACAGUGCCCCUUUGUCCUGGCCUUUCAAAGCCCGGCAGCUGGGGACUUGUGCCUUGGACCCUCGGCGCCCACAGCUAUGUCAUCAUGGCAGAACGUCAGAUGCUGAAAACUAUACGACCUGAAUUCAUGAGCAGCCUUCUUGGGAAGGUCCCCUUUCCGGUCCGCGUCAAAGCCCAGAGCCGCGUGCCGGUGGGUCAGGGCAGGUCGGCCGGACCGCUGCAGUGAGGGGAGAGGUCACCUGCCCGCCCGGCUCCCCAACCUUCCUAACUGUCCCCUGGGGCCCGCGCUGAUGUCUGACACUGGCGACCCUGAAAUGUCUCCCCAGUCCCACCUGAUGCAGAUUGCAAGUUUCGGAGACAGCAAGCAGCCGUGAUAUCCAGCUCUGGGAAUGAGCAGAGCGUCCGGCCUCUGCCUGCUCCAGAGUGCCAGGGAGGGCAUGGAAGCUCCCUGGGUGAGAGCGAACUCCAGACAGUGCUCACCAGACAGCAAACUCCUUUUUAAGCCAGCGUGCAAGGCAUGAGCUUGGGGCCCCUGUGUGGAAGUUCGACUCCCUCUGGGUCGUGGGGUCCCUCAGUGCUCCCCUUCCUGGGUGACCUUGCAGCCCCUGGGGCUGGGGACCCAUAAAUGAGACCUGGGCUGUCACCAGUGCCACGGCCCAGUGUGCGCCUGCGGGGCGGGGGGCCCCACGUUCCUGGGAGGCCCAGGGCCUGAGCUCACCCCCACCCCCGCUCCCCAGCCCUCGAGUGCUGGCCCCUGAGCUCUGAAGGGUGCCCUGCUUCUCUGGAGGAUCCUGCAGCCCAGGCCCUCUGCCUGCCGCCUCCUCGCACUGGAAAACGUUCCCAGGAAAGAGGUCACCUGGAGACGCCACCAGGUCACUUCCCAGUGAGAGCUGAGGACCCAGGGACCCAGGGAGCAUCAGAGGCAGACGUGCUGGUUCUCCCCUCCCUCCGCGGUGAGGCUGCUGCACCCCAGGCCUCUCCUGUGUGCCCCAGCUCUUCCCCGAGUGGCCAGUGCCCUCCCCAGGUGCCCCCCACCCACCAGAUGACUUCUCUUUUUUUUCCUUUCUCCCAUCCCACCCUCCUUUUUGUUUUCUUCUUUUGCAGUGUUGGUGAUUGAACCCAAGGUCUUUUCAAUGAACUACAUCCUCAGUCCCUUUUUUUUUAUUUUGAGACAGUCUUGCCAAGUUGCCCAGGCUAAGUUUGAAGUUGUGAUCCUCCUGUCUCAGCCUCCUGGAGUGCCAGGAUUAUAGCCAACCACCACCAAGCUUGCCUGUUUGACAAACUGAGGAGCGAGGGUUCAGCGGGGCUGCAACCAAAUACUACUUUGUAGUUGCAACAUGGAAGGCUGGGAAACAAACAGGAAAGGCCGCACAGGGCGUGGCCGCGUGGCCGUUGGGUUGGGAGGGUGCUGGCGCAGCUCUGACUGUCGACGCCUUUGGGCCUCGGAGCGCAGCUCCUGGGGGUCUCUGGACCUUGGAGGGCGCUGCCCAAGGCCGCACCCCCGGAGACCAGAGUUUGGGCCGUGAGCACGUGGGGUAUCCAGGGCCUGAGUCGCCUGGAGGCAGAGGCUGUGCCAGCCUGGGUCUCCGACGUCGACCCAGCCUGUGGACCACGCCUGGGUUCAGCAGCCUGCGGAACUCGAGUGCCAGAGCGGCCAAGCGGUCCGGGUGGGUGGAGCUGUGGCCGAGGGGCCUUGUCCGUCCCUGCACACAGGUCCCAGGGCUGCUGACCUCCGCAUCGGCUUGGCCCUUCUGCUCUCACACACACUCACUCCCCAGCAUCGUCUCUGCAGAUGGUCUCAGGGUUGUGGCGUCGCACACUCUCUCACACUCUCCGUCCGCCCUCAGUCUCCACAGAGCCGGUGGGGGGAUGCUGGGUGGGUGGCACCCGACUCCCAGGGCAGGGAAGCCACAAAGCCGGCAGGGGCCCCUCGUGGAGGCCCCCACGUGUGCUUCUGAGCCCCAGGCUGCCUCUCCUGUGCAGCACGGUGGUGCCGGGUCCCUGACACACAGGCCACGACCUGCCCUCCGUGCUUCCUGGUCCUGUCGGCCCUGCUCAUGACUCUUCGUCGACCACCCUUGGACGCUGCCUGGACGUGCGCUGCCAGGAAGGUGGAUGCCAGCAGGGCUGUGAGCGCAGAGACUCACGAGUGUGACGUCCGCACCCACAUAAAGAUGCUGAUGGGAAAUGCGUGGGAAACCCAUUCCUCCCCGAGUGUUGGCUACAGUGUGUGUAUUUUGGGUGUAUUGGGUCUAAUAAAAUAUAUUCUUGAAAUCAAUCUUCCCGGUCCCUUUUACUUUUUUAUCUUUUGGAGUACCGGGGAUCAGACUCAGGACCUUGCACUUGGGAGGCAGGUGGCAGAACCACUGAGCUAAAUCCCCGGCCCCCUUUUACUUUUUUACAAAAGGAACAGUGGGAAGACUCCAACUGACCUGCUUGGCUGCCACGUGGGCUGUGUGGGGCUGUCCUCAGGCAGCCGCAACCUCGUGAUCCUUCGGGGACAGAGGAGGGAAGCAGAGCCUGGUCCCACAGAGGCGAGCAGAGGCCUGGC